rnacentral:rRNA from 1 species
GUAACGCGUAUGUAACCUAACCUAUAACAGGGCAUAACACUGAGAAAUUGGUACUAAUUCCCCAUAAUAUUCGGAGAGGCAUCUCUCCGGGUUGAAAACUCCGGUGGUUAUAGAUGGACAUGCGUUGUAUUAGCUAGUUGGUGAGGUAACGGCUCACCAAGGCAACGAUACAUAGGGGGACUGAGAGGUUAACCCCCCCACACUGGUACUGAGACACGGACCAGACUCCUACGGGAGGCAGCAUG